CGGCAGGAGCGCACCGCGCUGUCUCCCUCCAGGGAUCCGCACCGCCCUACAAUCCUGCUUUGUGCUGAGAUUGUAGUCCUGCAGGCGUACAACUAACAAGCUGGGUGCAGAUAAGAGACUACAGCUCCCCGCAUCCCAAGCAAAGGUCCCUCCUCUACGGAGCCCCUCCACGCGUCCACUGCGGUUCCGCCGUGCCAAGGGGAGCUUGGCUGUUCACGGGCCUCACCUGCUAGCGAGAAGAUAGCUUGGCCGGGCGGCUGAUCUCACCUUGUAAUUCUGACACUGUGUCUCCCGGGCUUGUCGGCUUCAUGACUUGUGCCCAAAGUUUGAUUUCUCGCAGACCAGGAGGACCCAUUGGACCCCCGGGCUGGCUGCAGGGCCCACACCUGGGUUAGACCUCGCACAGGGACGCUGCUGCCACUGUAAUAAAGCGUGCCUACACGCUUCUGAAACUGGUGUAGGAACAACCUCAGUUCUGUGAAAGGCGGACGCAGCAGGACAGAAUCUCCGUGGACAUCUGUCUGGAGGAGCAAUUUUACUGCGACAUUUUAAAGAAACAAAUUUAAUUGAUUUCCAAGGGUGUCCAUCGCGCUUCCUUCACUGCCUUGAUCAUGUCGGGGUCACCACCUGCGGGGGUUUGUCCUGCAGACCCUGACUCAACGACGGAUGAAUAAUGUACACUGACACAGAUCUUAUGCUUGUCAGUCCUGCUGAGCAUCCAGGCCACUUACAGACUCCAAGAAGAGUCCUGUCAGCCACGGCUCUGACUUGUUGGCCCUCCCGGCAUUUAUUUAGCACACAUUUAAUGACAGAAGUCUCAGGCUGGAAACACUCUUUUUGUAGAACAUACAAAUGGACAUUUCUAAGCACAUUGAGGCCUAUAAUGAAAAAUCAAAUAUCCCACAAUGAAAACUAGAAGGAAGCUAUCUGUGAUAAUGCUUUGUGGUGUAUGGAUUCAUCUCACUGACUGAAACCUGAGUUUUGAUUCACCAGGUUGGAAACCUUCUUUUUGUAAAACCUACAGUGGGACAUUUCUGAGCUCAUUGAGGCUUGUAGUGAAAAACUGAGUUUCCUGCAAUAAAAACCGAAAACAGGUUAUCUGUGAAAGUGAUUUGUGAUGUGCAAAUUCAUCUCAUGAAAAUAAACCUCUGCUUUGAUUGAAUAAAUGGGAAGAACUUUUUUGUAGAAAUUUCUGAGCUCCUUUAGGUCUAUAGCAAAAAAAUCUAAUAUCCUGCAAACAAAACUAGAAACAAGCUACAUGUGAAGGUGCUUUCUGAUGUGUGAAUUCAUCUCACCAAAUGAAACUCGUGUUUUGAUUUAGUAGGUUGAAAACAAUCUUUUUGAAGAAUAUACGAAGGGACAUUACUGAGCUUAUUGAGGCUUAUAUUGAAAAACUGAAUAUCCCACAAAAUAAACUAGAAACAAGUGAUCUGUGAAAAUAGUUGGCCAUGUGUAAAUUUAUCUCACACAGUUAAACCCUUUUUUUGACUCAACAAAUUAGAACUCUUUUUGUAGAAUCUAUGAAGGGACAUUUCUGAGCUCAUUGAGGCCUAUCGUGAAAAACUGAAUAUCCCAUGAUGAAAACUAGAAAGAAGCUAUCUGUGAAAAUAUUUAGCAAUGUGUUCUUUCAUCUCACAGAGUUAAAUCUUUUUUUUUUUUUAUUCACCAUAUUGGAAAUACUCUUUUUGUAGAAUCUACAAAGAAACAUUUCUGAGCCCAUUGAAGCCUAUAGUAAAAAAACAAAUAUUCUGCAGUUGAAACUAGAAACAAUCUCUUUGAAAAUGCCUUGUGAUGUGUGGAUGCAUCUCAUUAAAAGGAGCCUGUGUUUUGGUUCACCAGAUUGGAAACACUUUUUUGUAGAAUAUACGAUGGGAUGUAUCUGAGCCCAUUGAGGCCUAUAGUAAAAAAUGGAAUAUCUUGCAAUAAAAAACUAGAAACGAGCUAUCUUUGAAUAUGCUUUCUGAUGUGUGGAUUCAUCUCACAGAGUUAAACCUUAUUUUUGACUCACCAAGAUGGAAAUACUUUUUUUUGUAGAAUCUAUGAUAAGACAUUUCUGAGUCUAUUGAUGUGUAUAGUGCCAAACAGAAUAUCCCACAAUAAAAACUAGAAACAAGCUAUCUGGGAAAAUGCCUUGUGAUGUUUUCAUUCAUCUUAGAGAGUUAAACCAUUGUUGUAAUUAAACAGGUUGGAAACACUCUCUUUGUAGAAACUACGAAUUGACAUUUCUGAGCCCUUUGAGGCCUACAGUGAAAAACAGAAUAUCCAGUGAUUAAAACUAAAAACUUUCUGUCUGUGAAAAUGCUUUGUGAUGUGUGGAAGCAUCUCAUAGAGUUAAACCUUUGUUUUGGUUCAACAGGUUGGAAACACUUUUUUAGUAGAAUCUAUGAGAAAAUCUUUGUGAACCCAAUGAGGACUCUGUGUGUGUGUUUGUGUGUGGGGGGGGUGGGGGGGCAGGAAACAACGAGGAUUUCAUGAUGGAAACUGGAAAGAACCAUCUGUGAAAAUGGUUUGUGAUGUGUGGAUUCACCUCACAGAAUUAAACCUUUGGUUUGAUAGAACAGAUUGAAAACACUGUUUUUGUACAAUCUAAAAAGAGACAUUUCUGAGCCCAUUGAAGCCUGACGUGAAAAACCAAGGGUCUCACAAUAAAAACGAAUUACAAGCUAUCUGUGAAAAUGCUUAGCAAUGUCCGGAUUCAUCUCACUGAAUAGACCCUGUGUUUUGAUUCACCAGGUUGGAAACUCUUUCUGCAGAAUCUGCAAAGAAAUAUUUCUGAGCCCAUUGAGGCCUACAGUGGAAAACUGAAUAUUCUGUGAUAAAACUAGAAACACCCUAUCUGUGAAAAUGCUUUGUGAUGUGUGGAUUUUUCUCAUCGAAUGGAACCUCUGUUUUGACUCACAAGGGUGAAACACUAUUUUAGUAGAAUCUAGGAAGAAACAUAUCUGAGCCCAUUUAUGCCUACAGUGAGAAACUGAAUACCCUGCAAUAAAAAGUAGACAGAAGCUAUUUGUAAAAAUGCUUUGUGAUGUGUGGAUUCAGUGUUAAACUUUUAUUUUGAUUCCACAGUUUUGACACCCUAUUUGUAGAAUAUAUGAAUGAACAUUUCUCAGCCCAUUGAGGCCUAUCAUGUGAAACCAAAUAUUUUAUAAUAAAAACUGGAAACAAGUGAUCUGUUAAAAUGUUUUUUAGUGUGUGAAUUUGUUUCACAAAGAUAAAUCUUUGCAUGGAUUCAACAGGUUGGAAACAUUAUUGUAGAACCUAUGAAGGGAUGUUUUUAGCCUAUUAAGGACUAUAUAUAUAAAAAAAACUAGAAACAAGCUGUCUGUGAAAAUGCUUUGUGAUGUGUGGAUUCAUCUCACAGAGUUCCACCUUUGUUUUUAUUCAACAGGUUAAAAACGCUCUUUUUGUAGAACCUACAAAAAGACAUUUCUGAGCCCAUUGAGGCCUACAGUGAAAAACCAAGAAUCCCAUAAUACAAUCUAGAAAACAAGCUAUCUAGGAAACUGUUUUGGAUGUGUGGAUUCAUUUAACAGAAUGGAAAUAGUGUUUUGAUUCACCAUGUUUGAAACACUCUUUUUGUGGAAUGCACGAAGAACAUUCUUUGUGGAAGAACAUUGAUGCCUAUAGUGAUUAACCAAAUAUCACGUGAUGCAAACUAGAAACAAGCUAUCUGUGAAAAUGCCUUGCAGCGUAUGGAUUCAUGUCACAGAGUUACACCUAUGUUUUGAUUCAACAGGUUGGAAACAAUCUUUUUGUAGAAUCUACAAAGGAAUAUUUCUGAGCCAAUUGAGUUCUAGAGUGAAAAACAGAAUAUCCUGUGAUAAAAACUAUAAAUAAGCUCUCUGUGAAAUUGCUUUGAGACUGUGGAUGCAUCUUUCAGAGUUAUGCCCUUGCUUAUAUUCAACAGGUUGGAAACACUUUUCUUGUAGAAUCUAUGAAGGGAUAUUUCUGAACCUAUUGAGGCCUAUGGUGAAAAAUUGAAUAUUCUGCGAUAUAAACCAGAAACAAGCUCUCUGUGAAAAUGCUUUUCCAUGUGUGCAUCCAUCUUACAGAGUUAAACGUUUGUUUAGAUUCAACAGGUUGGAAAUACUCUUUUUGUAGAAUCUAUGAAGGGAUAUUUCUGAACUUUUUGAGGCCUAUUGGCAAAAUCCGAAUAUUACGUGAUAAAAACUAGAAACAAGGUAUCAGUGAAAAUGCUUUGUGAUGUGUGGGUUUAUCUCACCAAAUAAAACCUGUGUCUUGAUUCACCAGGUUGGACACACUUUUUUUUCUAUAACCUACAUAGGGCGAUUUCUGAGCCUAUUGAGGUCUAUAGCAAAGCAACAACAACAAAUAUCCUGUCUUAUAAUCUAGAAAGAAGUUAUCUCUGAAAAUACUUUAUGAUGUGUGAAUUCAUCUCACAAAGUUAAACCUUUGUUUUGAUUCAACUGAUUGGAAACACUCUUUUUGUAAAAUCUAUGAAGGGAAAUUUCUGAGCCCAUUUAGGCCUAUAGUGAGAAACAGAAUAUCCCACUGUAAUAAGUAGAAACAAGCUAUCUGUGAAAAUCAUUUAUGGUGGCUGGAUUCAUCUCACCAAAUGAAACCUGUGCUUUGAUUCACCAGUUUGGAAACACUAUUUUUAUAGAAUCUAUGCAGGAAUAUUUCUGAUCCCAUUGAGGCAUAUGCUGAAAAUUCGAAUAUCCCAUGAUAAAAACUACAAACAAGCUAUCUAUGAAAAUGUUUUGUCAUGUGUGGAUUCAUCUCACAGAGUUAAACCUUUGUUUUGAUUCAUCUGUUUGAAAACACGCUUUUUUGUAGAAUCUAAGAAUCAACAUUUCUGAGUGCAUUGAAGCCUAUAGUGAAAAACAAAAUAUCUGAUGAUAAAAACUAGAAACAAGCUAUCUGUGAAAAUGCUUUGUGAUAUGUGGAUUCAUCUCAAAGAAUUAAACUUUAUUUUGAUUCAACAGGCUGGAAACACUGUUUUCGUAGAACCUACAAAAAGACAUUGGGGAGCCCACUGAGUCUUACAGUGAUAAACCAAGGAUCCUGUGAUAAAACUAGAAACAAGCUAUCUGUGAAAAUGCUUUGCAGUUGGUGAAUUUCUUUCAUAGUUAAACCUUUUUUUAUUCAAUACGUUGGAAACACCAUUUUUUAGUGUCUCUAAAGGGACUUUUUCAGCCCUUUGAAACCUAUAGUGAAAAACCAAAUAUCUUGCAAUAAAAACAAAUAAACAAAAAAGAACUACUUAUGAAAAUGCCUUGUGAUGUGUGGAUUCAUCUCACAGAGUUAAACCAUUGUUGUGAUUCAACAGGUUGGAAACAUGCUUUUUGUAGAAUCUACGAGUUGACAUUUCUGAGCCCUCUCUGGGUUAUGGUGAAAACGAAAUAUCCCAUGAUAAAAACUAGAAACAACCUAUCUGUGAAAAUGCUUUGCAAUGUGUGGAUUCAUUUCACAGAAUUAAACCAUUGUUUUGAUUUAACAGGUUGGAAACACUCUUUUUGUAGAAUGUAUGAAGAGAUAUUUCUGAGGCCUGUUGUGAAAAACUGAGGUUUCCACAAGAAAAACUGGAAACAAGUUAUCUGAGAAAAUGCUUUAUGAUGGGUGAAUUCAUCUCACAAAAUUAAACCUUCGUUUUGAUUCAAAAGGUUGGAAUAACUUUUCUUUUCUUCUUCUUCUUCUUUUUUUUUUUUUUUUUUUGGACAGGGUCUUGCUCUGUCACCCAGGCUGAAAUGCAAUGGCACAAUCUCGGCUCACUGGUUCAAGCAAUUCUCCUGCGUCAGCCUCACAAGUAGCUGAGAAUACAGGUGCCAGCCACCACAACUGGCAGUUUUUUUGUAUUUUUAUAAAAGAUGGGGUUUCAGCAUGUUAACCAGGAUGGUCUCGAUUUGCUGACCUCCUGAUCUGCCUGCCUUGGCCUCCCAAAGUGUUGGUAUUACAGGUGGAAUCACUUUUUUUGUAGAAUCUGUGCAGGCACAUUUCUGAGGCCUACAGUGAAAAAUUGUAGGCCUCAUUGAGGCCUACAGUGAAAAAUUGAAUAUCCCUCAAUAAAAAUUACAAACAAGCUAUCUGUGGAAAUGCUUUGUGAUGUCUGGAUUCAUCUCACAGAGUGAAACCUUUCUUUUGAUUCAUUAGGUUGAAAGCACACUUUUUGUAAAAAUUACAAAGGAACAUUUCUGGGCCUAUUUAGGCCUGUGGUGAAAAAUCAGAAAACUAGUGAUAAAAUCUAGAAACAGGCUUGUGUGAAAAUGCUUUGGGUUGUGUGCAUUUAUCUCACAGAGUUAAACAUUUAUUUUGAUUUAACAAGUUGGAAACACUCUUUUUGUAGAAUCUAUGAGGGGACAUAAUUGAGCUUAUUGAGGCCUAUAGUAAAAAUUUGAGGAUUCUGCUAUAAAAACUAGAAACAAGCUAUCUGUAAAAAUGCUUUGCUGUGUGUGUAUUCCUAUCACAAAGUUACAGCUUUGUUUUGAUUCAACAGGUUGCAAACACUCUUUUUGCAGAAUCUAUGAAGGAACAUUUCUGAACCAAUUUUGGCCUAUAGUGGAAAACUGAACAUUCUGUGAUAUAAACUAGAGAAAAGAUAUCUGUGAAAAUGCUUUGCAAUGUGUGGAUUCAUCUCACUGGAUGGAACCUAUGCUUUGAUUUAGUAGGUUGGAAAUACUCAUUUUGUAGAAUCUACAAAGGAUAUUUCUGAGCCCCUUUGAGCCUGUAGUGAAAAAUCAAGGAUCCCAUGAAGAAAAACAGAAAAACACUAUCUGUCAAAAUGCUUAUUGGUGUGUGGAUUCUUCUUACCAAAUGGAACCUGUGUUUUGAUUCACCAGGUUGGAAACACUUUUUUGUAGAGUCUAUGAAGGGACAUUUCUCAGCCCAUUGAGGCCUAUAGUGAUGAACAAAAUAUCCCAUAAUAGAAGCUAGAAAAAAGCUAUUUCCAAAAAUGCUUUGCAAUGUGUGGAUUUAUCUUACAGAAUUAAACCUUUAUUUUGAUUUGACAGUCUGCAAACACUUUUUUUUGUAGAAAGUACAGAGGGACAUUUCUGAGACCAUCAAGAACUAUAGUAAAAAAAUCAAACAACCUGCCUUAAUAUUUAGAAACAAGCUAUCUGUUAAAAUGCUUUAGAAUAUUUUCAUUCAUGUCACAGAUUUCAACCUUUUUUUUGAUUCAACAAGAUAAAAACACUCUUUUAGUUGAAUCUACAAAAAGAUAUUUCAAAGUCCGUUGAGGCCUAUAGUGAAAAACUGAAUAUCCCAUGAUAAAAACUAGAAGUGAGCCCUGUGUGAAAAUGCUUUGUGAUGUGUGGAUUCAUCUCACAGAGUUAAACUUAUAUUUUUAUUCAACACCUUGGAAACACUCUUUUUGUAGCAUCUAUGAAGGGACAUUCUGAGGCCAUUGAGGCCUAUAGUGAAAAGCAGAAUAUCCUUCCUUAAAAUCUAGAAACAAUCUAUCUGUGAAGAUGAUUUAUGAUGUGAGCAUUUAUCUCACAGAUUUAAAACUAUGUUUUAAUUCAACAGGUAGGAAAAAGUCUUUUUGUAGAAUCUAUGAAAGGACACUUCUGAGCCCACGGAGACCUAUAGUGAAAAACUGAAUAUCCAGCAUUAAAAACUAGAAACAAGCUAUAUGUAAAAAUGUUUUGUGAUGUGUGGAUUCAUCUCUCCCAAUGGAACCUGUGUUUUGAUUCUCCAGGUUGGAAACACUUUUUGUGAAAUCUAUGAAGCGACAUUUCUGAGCCCAUUGAGGCAUAUUGUAAAAUUUGAAUAUUCCACGAUAAGAACUAGAAACAAGCUAUCUCUGAAAAUCCUUUUCAAUGUGUGGCUUCUCCUCACAGAGUUAAAUCUUUGUUUCAAUUCAACACCUUGAAAACACUUUUUUGGUAGAAUCUACGAAGGGACAUUUCUGACCCAUUGAGGCCUACAGUAAAAAAUGUAGGGACAUUUCUGAGCCCAUUGAAGCCUAUAGUUAAAAAACUAAUUUCUGGUGAUAAAAUCUAGAAACAAGCCAUCUGUGAAAAUGCUUUGUGAUGUAUGGAUUUAUCUCAAAAAGUUAAAACUAUGUUUUUAACCAACAGGUUGAAAUCACUCUUUUUGUAGAAUCUAUGAAAAGACGUUUCUGAGCCCACUGAGGCCUGUAGAGAAAAACUGUAUAUCCUGCAAUAAAAGCUAGAAGAAAAGCUCUCCGUGUAAAUGGUUCCCGAUGUGUGGGUUAAUCUCACAGAGUUAAACAUUUGUUUUUAUUUAACAGGUUAGAAACGUUCUUUUUGUAGAAUCUACGAAGGAAUAUUUCUGAGCCCAUUGAGGCCUAUAGCAAGAAGCCAUAUAUCCGUCAAUAAAAACUGGAAACAAGCUAUCUGUGAACAUUUUUUGUGAUGUAUGCAUUUAUCUCACCAAAUGGAACCUGUGUUUUGAUUCACCAGUUUGGAAACACUCUUUUGUGGAAUGCAUGAAGGGACAUUUCUUAGCCAAUUGAGGUGUAUAGUGAUAUACCAAAUAUCCCGGGAUAGAAACUAGAAACAAGUUAUCUGCAAAAAUGCUCUGUGAUGUGUGGAUUUAUCUCACAGAGAUGAAGCUUUGUUUUGAUUCAACAUGUUGGAAACACUUUUUUUGUAGAAUCUACAAAGGGACAUUUCUGAGACCAUUAAAAACUACAGUAAAAAAAGGUAUAAUGCACCUUAAAAUCUAGAAACAAAGCUAUCUGUGAAAAUGCUUUGCAAUAUGUGGAUUCAUGUCACAGAUUUAAACCUUUGUUUUGAUUGAACAAAUUGGAAACACUGUUUUAGUAGAUUAUAUAAAGGGACAUUUCAAAGCCCAUUGAAGCCUAUAGUGAAAAAUCAAAAAUCCCGUGAGCAAAAAUAGAAACAACCUCUGUGGGAAAAUGCUGUGUGAUACGUUCAUUCAUCUCACAGGGAUAACCUUUGUUUUUAUUCAACACCUUGGAAACAUUCUUUUUGUAGAGUCUAUGAAAAAAAUUUCUGAGCCAAUUGAAGUCUGUAGUGAAAAAGCUAAUAUCCCAUUUUAAAAUAUAAAACAAACUAUGAAAAUGAGUUUUGAUGUGUGGAUUCAUCGAGAGUUAGACCUUUGUUCUAAAUCAACAGGUUAAGAACACUCUUUUUGUAGAAUCUAUGAAAAAACAUUUCUGAGCCCGUUGAGGCCUAUUGCGAAGUGAAUCUCUUGCAAUAAAAAGCAGAAACCAGCUCUCUGUGAAAUAAUUUUGUGAUGUACAAAUUUAUCUUGCAGAGUUAAAACUUUGUUUUAAUUCAACAAGUUGAAACCUUCUUUUUGUAGAAUCUGCAAAGAGACAUUUCUGAGCCCAUUGAGGCCAAUAGCAAAAAAAUGAAUAUCCCACAAUAAAAACUAGAAACAAAACAGCUGUGUAAAUGCUUUGCAAUAUGUGGAUUCGUCUCACUGAGUUAAACCUAUGUUUUGAUUCAACAAGUUAAAAAACUUGUUUUUGUAGUAUCUUCGAAGGGACAAUUCUGAGCCUAUGGAGAUUAUAGCAAAAAACUGAAUAUCCUGCAAUAAAAACUAGAAACAAGAUAUCCGUGGAAAUGCUUUGAGAUGUGUAGAUUUAUUUCACAGAAUUAAACCUUUGUUUUGAUUUAACAGGUUGGAACCACUCUAUUUUAAGAAUCUAUGAAGAAAUAUCUUUGUCCCUAUUGUACACUAUAGUGGACAACUGAAUACUUCAUGACAAAAACUAGAAACAAGCUAGCUGUGAAAAUGCUUUGCAAUGGGUGAAUUCAUCUCACUCAGUUAAACCUUCGUUUUGAUUCAACAAGGGUGAAACACUCUUUUGGUAGAAUCUACAAAGAAACAUUUAUGAGCCCCUUGAGGACUAUAGUGAAAAAAUGAAUCUCCUGCAUUAAUAUCUAGAAACAAUCUAUUUGUGAAAAUGCUGUGUGAUGCAUGGAUCCAUCUCACAGAUUUCAAACUUUAUUUUGAUUCAACAGGCUGGAAACACUCUUGUUAUAGAAGCUACGAAGGGUCAUUUCUGAACCCAUUGAGGCCAAUAGUGAAAAACUAAAUAUCCUGCAAUAAACCUAGAAAAAAUCUAUCUGCGAAAAUACUUUGUGUAGUGUGGAUGAGUGUCUCAGGGUUAAACAUUUGUUUUUAUUCACCAGGUUCGAAACACUCUUUUUGUUGAACAGACAAAGGGACAUUUCUUAGCCCAGUUAGGCCUAUAAAGGUAAACCGAAUAUCCCGUGAUACAUAGUAGAAACAAGCUAUCUGCAAAAAUGCUUUGUGAAUUGUAGAUUCAUCUCACAGAAUUAAGCCUUUGUUUUAAUUCAACAGGUUAAAAACACUAUUUUUGUAGACUCUACGAAGAAACAUUUCUGAAACCAUUGAAACCUAUGGGGGAAAAAAACCCCCGAAAUUCCUGUGAUAAGAAAUGGAAAGCAGCUAUCUGUGAAAAUGCUUUGUAAUGUGUGGAUUCUUCUCACAGAGUUAAACCUUUGUUCUGAUUCAACAUUGUUCAGAACACUCUUUUUGUAGAAUCUACAGAGAUACUUUUUAGCAUUUUGAGGCCUCUAGUGAAAAACCGAAUGUCCUGCAAUAGAAACUGGAAACAACCUUCUGUGAAAAUGCUUUGUGAUUCGUCUAUUCAUCUCAAAGAAUGAAACUUGUGCUUUGAUUCAACAGGUUGGAAAACCCUUUUUGUAGAAUCUACGUAGGAACAUUUCUGAGCCCAUUGAGGCCUCUAGUGAAAAAACUGAAUAUCCCAGAAUUAAAACUAUAAACAAGCUAUCUGUGAAGAAGCUUUGUAAUAUGUGCAUUCAUCUAACAGAUAUAAGCGUGUAUUUUGAUUUGCCUGGUUGGGAACACUCUUUUUGUACAGUCUAUAAAGAAACAUUUCUGAGUGCAUUGAGUCAUAUGUUGAAAAAUCGAAUAUCUCGUGAUAAAAACUAGGCAGGAGGUAUCUGUGAAAAUGCUUUGAGAUGUGUGGGUAUUGGCCUCACAGAGUUAAACUUUUGUUUUGAUUCAACAGUUUGGAAACAUACUUUGUAGAAUCUACAAUGACAUAUUUCUGAGCCCAUUGAGGCCUGUAGUGAAAAACCGAAUAUCCCAUGAUAAAAACUCAAAACAAGCGAUAUGUGAAAAUGCUUUGUGACGUGUGGUUCAUCUCAUAGAGUUAAACCUGGUUUUGAUCCACUACAUUGGAAACACUCUUAUUGUAGAAUCUACAAAAAAAAAUUUCUGAGACCAUUGAGGUCUCUAGUGAAAAACUGAAUAUCCCAUGAUAAAAACUAGAUACAAGCUAUCUGUGAAAAUGCUUUGCAAUGUGUGGAUUUGUCUCACAAAGUUAAACCUGUGUUUGAUUCAACGGGUUGGAAACACUUUUUUUGUAGAAUCUAUGAAGAAACAUUUCUGAGACCAUUGAAGCCUAUAGUAAAAAAUUGAAUAUCCUGUGAUAUAAAUGAGAAACAAGUUAUCUACGAAAAUGUAUAUUAAUCUCACUGAAUGCAACCUGUGUUUUACUUCACCAGGUUAAAGAUGCUCUGUUGGUAAAAUCUGUGAAGGGACAUUUCUGAGCACAUUGAGGCCUAUAGUGAAAAAACGAAUAUCCUGCUAUAAAAACUAGAAACAAGCUAUGUGUGAAAAUGCUUUGCAAUGUGUGGAUUCACCUCACAGAUUUAAACCUUUGUUUUGUUUCAACAGGUUGGAAACACUCUUUUUGUAGUUGAACGAAGGGACAUUUUUGAGUCCCUUGAGGCCUAUAGUAAUGAACAGAAUAUCCUGCAAUAAAAAUUAGAAAGAAGUUAUCUGG
rnacentral:lncRNA from 1 species